AUUGACAUUUUAUCGGAGGCCCCCGAAUUGCCUGUAAUGAAUAUUUACACAUACUUUCCUCACAGAUAGACACAUUUGGCAGCCUGAUGCACCUUUCUGUUAUAGGAUACACGGUGUUUUCGCGUCCUGACAAAAUUUCAACCCCAAGUAGGCUACUUCUCAAAAUCCCACCAUAUGGCCUGGAAACAGCAAACACCUGUAGAUGGUCAGAGCUGUCUUGGCGGCAUGAAGGGGACCUACGUAAUGUUAACGCUCCACGCUCAAAAGGACCAUACCAGACCACCCCUUGUGGACCGCUUUUCCCUCAAGGGUCUCAUCAUCUAAUCACACCUGAACUCAGUCGAUAUAUAGUAAAUCAUGGAAGAUAUUACUUUGCCUUAAAUUUAACUUUUGCCUGGAUAAACCAAAUAUGAAUAAUAAUGUUGAAAUAUUGUGACAUUCCUGUAUAAAUUGUCUAAUGUAUUGUUAUCCACAGUGUUCAUGUAUCACUCAUAACUAUUUACGCCAUUUGCUUCACUACUUCCACUAUUUGUUAUAUAAUCCUACAUGCUGGACUUUCCUUUGGAUAGCAAUGCAUAAGGGGCCUCUUCUAUCAUCUGUAUUACUUUCGUAUGACACUUCAUUGAUCCUGAGCAGGGAAAUUAUCUCCUCAUCUUGCCCGUCUUGCUCCCCCUCACAUACAUAUAGGUGAGAGCAAGCUUGGCAGUGAAGGGCAGUAAUCUGCAGAGCUGCCCAGGAUGCUGGGGGUUAAGGGUCUUUACUCAAGAGCUUAUGCUGUUAAAGCCUUGCUCAAACCGGGAUCUUUCCGCUCACAGAGGCUUAGCCCGUUGAGCCACAUGACUUAGCAGUUGUGUGUUGUCCUUUAAAGGGUUUUCUUACUUUUGGUUAUGGCAAUUAGCCGCUAGCUGCUAGCCUCUAGCUGAAAAAGUGCAAGUAAUGUUGUAUUUCAUUUAUUAUGUAUCUCAAGUGGCUCUGGAUCACUUCUAAUCAGUUAGGUAUACCUGUGACUGUUACAUGCAACAUUGACUUUCAUCAUCCCAGCUUCUCGUGAUAUGACUGACUUCAGGAAAAUGGCGCAAUCGCCCACUGUCACGUGAAUUUCACGGGAGACACUAAGGUGGACAGCAGUCAAACGAAGGGUUAAUGUGUACUAAUUAUCAAUGUAGAGAUUCCAAGAAUAACAGAUUGUGAACACAGACUUUGUAUAAAUACUCUGCUGUUUAUUCAGAUGUAUUUAAUUAAAUCACGGUAAAAGAA